CGAUCGCUAUAGGGGUAGGGCUAAGCCAUGGGAGUCGUACGCUCUCGGGAAGAGGGCGUGGCGGACGGCUGAGUAACACGUGGCUAACCUGCCCUUGGGAUCCGGAUAACCCCGGGAAACUGGGGCUAAUCCGGAAUAGGUAAGGGGCUCUGGAACGACUCCUUGCCUAAAGGCUCCUCGGCUGAUCCCGUCGGGGGGGCGCCCAAGGAUGGGGCUGCGGCCCAUCAGGCUGUUGGCGGGGUAAAGGCUCGCCAAGCCGAUAACGGAUGCGGGCAGUGAGAGCUGGAGCCCGGAGAUGGGCACUGAGACAAGGGCCCAGGCCCUACGGGGCGCACCAGGCGAGAAACCUUAGCAAUGCGGGAAACCGUGACUGGGCCAUCCCGAGUGCCAGCCGCUAAGGCUGGCUUUUCCCCAGAGUAAGCAUCUGGGGGAAUAAGCGGGGGGCAAGACUGGUGUCAGCCGCCGCGGUAAUACCAGCUCCGCGAGUGGUCGGGACGAUUAUUGAGCCUAAAGCGCUCGUAGCCGGCCCCGUAAGUCCCGUGUUAAAUCCAACGGCUUAACCGUUGGGCUGCAUGGGAUACUGCGGGGCUAGGGAGCGGAAGAGGCCAGGGGUACUCCCGGGGUAGGGGCGAAAUCCUAUAAUCCCGGGAGGACGACCAGUGGCGAAGGCGCCUGGCUAGGACGCGUCCGACGGUGAGGGGCGAAAGCUGGGGGAGCGAACCGGAUUAGAUACCCGGGUAGUCCCAGCCGUAAACGAUGCGGACUGGGUGUUGGCACGGCUUCGGGCCGUGCCAGUGCCUCAGGGAAGCCGUUAAGUCCGCCGCUUGGGGAGUACGGUCGCAAGACUGAAACUUAAAGGAAUUGGCGGGGGAGCACCACAAGGGGUGAAGCCUGCGGCUCAAUUGGAGUCAACUCCGGGAACCUUACCAGGUGCGACAGCAGGAUGAAGGCCAAGCUGAUGACUUUGCCUGACGCGCUGUGAGGUGGCGCAUGGCCGUCGCCAGCUCGUGCCGUGAGGUGUCUGGUUAAGUCCAGGAACGAGCGAGACCCUCACCCUUAGUUGCGACCGCGAAAGCGGGCACACUAAGGGGACCGCCACCGUUAAGGUGGAGGAAGGAGGGGGCAACGGCAGGUCAGCAUGCCCCGAAUCACCUGGGCCGCACGCGGGCUGCAAUGGUGGAGACAAUGGGAUCCGAACCCGAAAGGGGGAGGUAAUCCUUGAAACUCCACCGUAGUUGGGAUCGAGGGCUGUAACCCGCCCUCGUGAACCUGGAAUCCCCAGUAAUCGCGUGUCAUCAUCGCGCGGUGAACAAGUCCCCGCUCCUU
rnacentral:rRNA from 1 species